GGGGGCGAAAGGGCUCGACGGGGACAGUUGAGGCGGAUGGUUGCAUGCCGAGGUCCUGCUGGCUCGUUAAACAAGCAGGAAACCACAAACGCCGACGACAACGUCGCGUACGCUCUGGCUGCCUAACUAGCAGCCAGGCAUCCGGCGGUUGCCGGCCCGCAGGGCGGCUGCCGGGUGCUCAAUGAACUGCGGGUGGCCCCCUCUGAUGCCCGCUGGGAGGGGGCGAGACGAAGCGGGCUGGCCGUCACGGAUCCUGCCCGAGGGGAGCCGCGGCGGCGACACGGA
rnacentral:tmRNA from 1 species